UGUAAAUAACUGAUCCUUUUCUG
rnacentral:siRNA from 1 species